rnacentral:rRNA from 1 species
AACUAACUAUAACGAAAACAAAAAAUUAUGGCGGUACUUUAAGCUUUUCAGAGGAAUUUGCUCUUUAAUGGAUAAAACACCUGAAUCUUACUAAAAUUGGUUUAAAAUCAGUUUGUAUACCACUAUUAAAGUAUUAAUUUAUAACUAUUACUUCAAUUUUUUUUAAAAAUUAAAUUAAGUCAUGGUGCAGCAAAAAUUUUAGGAUGAAGUGAAUUACAUUUCUUUUUAGAAUUUCGAAUUUUGAAAGUAAAGAUAGGAUUUGAAAGUAAAAAUACAAUAUUAUGAUAUUUUGAAUUAAGUUCUGAAGUAUGUAC